GAACCUCUGAGGUUAUUGUUGAAUGGAUGGCUGAUUACAUUGAGUCUGAUCAAUGCAUCAAUGCCUGUGGCCUCGACCGUAACUCCGUUGGUAUCGCCUCCGAUGCCCUCCUCGAGCCUCAAUUCACUGCCAAGCUUUGCUCCCCUUCCUGCUACCAGAAAUGUCCCAACAUUGUUGACCUCUACUUCAACAUGGCCGCAGGAGAAGGUCAGCAAUAUUUCAUAAUCUCUUAACAAGAUUUUCCUUUUUUAAUCUCUUAUAGCGCUUAACUUGAGAUCAAAGGAAAGAACUCAUUAGUUCUAUUAAUUAAUAUUGCAUGAUUAUUUUAACUGAAAAAAAAUUCCUUCAUGAUUAAUUCUACUUUUUACUUUUCUUUUCUUUUCUGCAUGCAUUGGGAAGCUUCAUAAUACCUUGCUUAAUUCUCUUGCAAUAACAUUUAUAUGAAUCUGAAAUAUCUUCAACAUAAUAAUUUCUUUUAUAUAUUUAUUAAUACGUCAUAAAUUUUAAUUAUAUUGCAGGAGUGUUCUUGCCUGACCUUUGUGAGAAACAACGUACGAACCCACGCCGUGCCAUGGCACAGCUGUUGAGCUCCGGUGUUGCAGCAGGUCCAGUGUCAUCAGCACAAAUCAAUGCAGUAUUCCCAACCAUUAUCGCUGAAGCCCCAGCUCCGAUGUGAAAAGGAAG
rnacentral:lncRNA from 1 species